UUAUGUUUCCAUCUUCCACCCUAUUUUUUCUCAACAAUGUUAUACUUGUUUUCCUGAUUCGCCUUUCAGAGUUGCUAGGGAUUUCUAAAGGUUUAAUAUUCAACCAACGAUUUACAUGAAGUAUUAAUAUCUGGAAAUAGUUUAGAAUGCUAAUACUUCUUUCAUGUGGAUUAGACUCCUUUCAUAACUGCGGAAAUGUAGGGUUAAGAUUUUCGUCUAAGAGUUGGGUGGGGUGUGUCUUUAUGUGAAAAUAUUUUUGUGUAUGUUCUUAAACUGACUUCAGUUUUUUUGUUUUUUGUU
rnacentral:lncRNA from 1 species